CGGAUCGGGCGGGCACUCCCCGCCCCCUCCCUCUGCCGGGCCGGGGCAGCGGCGGCAGCGCCCGGACGGUGCUGAGGCGGCGGCGGAGCUCGGAGGUGGCCCCGGCGCAGCAUUUCUCCUUCCCAAACCUUGACCAAAUGGUGGAGAAGGCAGUUCUGGCAUUUAUGAUCAUCACGAGGAAAGGGGACAAGAAGAGAAAGAGAGAGAAGGAGAUUUGGAAUCAAGGAUCAGAGUCACAGUGACCAGUCCUGCUCCAUCGGGGGUGGGGACCCACACAUGCAGCCAAAAUUGAAGGCUGCGAGGAAGAGGAAGAUGCCCCGGGACCCCCAGGCAGGCCCCGAGCUGAGGACGGAGAGCCCGGAGGACAAAUCCCCCCGGCAGAGCCUGGUGGGAGAGGCCGUUUUGAAGGGCUCCACGGCGCAGGAAGGCAGCGGGGAGGGAAAGCCACGAAGGUACCCCAGGAGGAGGGUCUCCAAAGCCAGCCCAGAGUCCUCCAAGGAGGAAAGACUCAGCCUGUGCCAGGAAGGCAGCUGGAGCUUGAUCCGGUGCCCUGACCUGGAGGUCCACGUUCAGUUUCGCCCCAGGGGGAAGCCCUACAAGUGCUUGCAAUGUACAAAGAAUUUCAGCCACGUCUCCCACCUCUUCUACCACCAAAGCGUACACACA